GACGAACGCUGGCGGCGUGCUUAACACAUGCAAGUCGAACGGAAAGGCCCUGCUUUUGUGGGGUGCUCGAGUGGCGAACGGGUGAGUAACACGUGAGUAACCUGCCCUUGACUUUGGGAUAACUUCAGGAAACUGGGGCUAAUACCGGAUAGGAGCUCCGGCGGCAUGGUGGGGGUUGGAAAGUUUCGGCGGUUGGGGAUGGACUCGCGGCUUAUCAGCUUGUUGGUGGGGUAGUGGCUUACCAAGGCUUUGACGGGUAGCCGGCCUGAGAGGGUGACCGGCCACAUUGGGACUGAGAUACGGCCCAGACUCCUACGGGAGGCAGCAGUGGGGAAUAUUGCACAAUGGGCGGAAGCCUGAUGCAGCAACGCCGCGUGCGGGAUGACGGCCUUCGGGUUGUAAACCGCUUUCGCCUGUGACGAAGCGUGAGUGACGGUAAUGGGUAAAGAAGCACCGGCUAACUACGUG
rnacentral:rRNA from 1 species